UUUCAGAUUGACAUAUAAUACACUGUAUAAGGGAAAAAAAAAAAGUUAAAAUAUAUAAUUUAGAAUAGUAAAGUGCAGAAAUUGAAAUAGUAAAAAGAUCUAGUUGUUAUAUGGUCCCCUUUCUCUACGACCUGGACAAGUCUACCUCCAGCCGUGGGUGUUUUAGUGUCCUAAGGAGGGUUGCUAACCUGGACAAGUCUACCUCCAGCCGUGGGUGUUUUAGUGUCCUAAGGUGGGUUGCUAACCUGGACAAGUCUACCUACAGCCAUGGGUGUUUUAGUGUCCUAAGGAGGGUUGCUAACCUGGACAAGUCUACCUACAGCCAUGGGUGUUUUAGUGUCCUAAGGUGGGUUGCUAACCUGGACAAGUCUACCUCCAGGCAUGGGUGUUUUAGUGUCCUUCUAAGGAGGGUUGCUAACCUGGACAAGGUCGUAUCCCUUGGCGUCCAUGGGUGUUUUAGUGACCUAAGGUGGGUUGCUAACCUGGAAAAGGUCGUAUCCCUUGGCGUCCUCCUGGUCGUAAGGCCGGAUGAUUCCAUCCUC